GUAUAUAAUAAUAAUAUUUCCAACCAAAUCAAUGGCAUAUAUAAUAUCAGGCAAGCGCUUCUUUUUCCCCCCACCAAACCAUUGUUAGUUGCGAUCGUUUGUUUGAAGAAGCAGAGGAAAGCCAGCAAAAGCCCAAAAGCUUUUUUGCCGGUUCUUCCCUCCACCACUUAUAUAGAAAGUGUUUUUCUAUGAUGAUCCCUCCGCAGGUUCACCUACGGAGA
rnacentral:misc_RNA from 1 species